AACAAGACAUUGUCUUGCCUGAGGUUCCUGCUGGCCUUGGUAAGAACUUGACUUUGGAAACUUUGCCGGUUCGGAUUGUGGAUCGGUCAGAGAAAGCUAUGAGAACCUGCUGACCUUGGUAAGAACUUGACUUUGGAAACUUUGCCGGUUCGGAUUGUGGAUCGGUCAGAGAAAGCUAUGAGAAAGAAGACAGUUCCCAUGAUCAAAGUGGUGUGGGAUUACAAUGGUAAAGACCUCAUCACUUGGGAAACGGAAGCAAAAAUGAAAAGUAUGUAUCCGGAUUGGUACAGACAAUUUCUUCCUGAUGAAACACUUAACAUGGAUUCGAGGACGAAUCCCAAGUUAGUGGGGGAGACUUGUCAUGUCCCCGAUCCUAGAUAGGAUCGGCCGGACGGGCCAUGGUGCGGGAAGACGCACCAGUCAGGUCAUUAGACCUUGAGACAAGCGUAUCAUGGCCCUGAAUGAAGGUUAAGGGCAUCAGUCAGCUGAGACUUAACCAGGAUAUGAUGGAAACAAGGGUAAAGGAGCUGGGUGAGUGUUUAGGCAGCUGGACGAGUGUUGGUUUGAGUUCAAUCAGCUCGGUUCAGCUGGUAUUCAGUUCACCAUGAUCUGUCCAGCUCACAGGAGCUGGUGGACUAGCUCACUCAGCUGGGAACAGCUGGAGGCCAGCUCCAUCUGGUGAACGGUGCGUUUUGGUUCGGAUCAGUGUGGGCGAGUCCGGGACGGUUACUGGGCGAGCCGAUGGUCCGGGUGCAGGACGGUUCGACCAAGUGGGUCUUAGGCUUGGGACAGGGAGUGGGCAAGCUUCCAGAGUGUGAGCUGAGGCUCAGUGAUCGAUUUGCCAAAGGAAGAAAAGGGGAGAAACCGCCAAUGGGCGGUUAUGGGGCGGUUAUGGGACGGUUUUGGGAAGAAGGGAUGUGAUUGGUUGGUAACUGUUCGCCCAGGCGGUUGGGGACAGUUUAAAUCGUCUUCUCCCUCUCAUUUCUGCCAUUCUGGUCGAUUUUUACUCAACUUGACACAGAGAGAAACACAGAGAAAAUUCAAGAGAGAAAGAGAGACAC
rnacentral:lncRNA from 1 species